rnacentral:rRNA from 1 species
GGAAAAGGGAGGCAAAGGGGCCUACAGGGCUAGUAGCUUAUACGUUGUUGAACGUCCUGCCUGGACCCGGAGCCGCCCCCAUCUAAACCCUCUGCGUACCUGUCCCUUCUUGCUUCCCCCGGCAUCUCGUCGGGGGGAGGUAACAACCAAAACUCUCUGUGAAUCAAACAGCCGUCAGAAUUAUAAAACAAACAAAAGUUAAAACUUUCAACAACGGAUCUCUUGGUUCCCACAUCGAUGAAGAACGCAGCGAAAUGCGAUAAGUAAUGUGAAUUGCAGAAUUCAGUGAAUCAUCGAAUCUUUGAACGCACAUUGCGCCCCCUGGUAUUCCGGGGGGCAUGCCUGUUCGAGCGUCAUAAAAACCUCCUCCCCCUUCGGGUUUUGUUACUAUCGUUGGGGGGUUUUGGCCUAAUGGGGAUAGCGAUUGGCAAUUCGUUUCCCAAUGUCCUAAAUAGACGUAGACCCGCCUCCAGAUGCGACAGCACCGAGGCCAUCAACCGUGGGGUUAUGGGAUAUAAUAGGCUUGCAGUAAAAUGCUCACCUCUCUCCACACGCCGAUGGCACGACAGUUGCAGUUGCGGGCGUAAAUUGGAGCCCUUUUCAGGACCCUUGUGGCCUAGCAUCCACCAUGCAUAAUUUGACCUCGGAUCAGGUAGGGAUACCCGCUGAACUUAAGCAUAUCAAUAAGCGGAGGAAAAGAAACCAACAGGGAUUGCCUCAGUAACGGCGAGUGAAGCGGCAAAAGCUCAAAUUUUAAAGCUGACAUCUUCGGUGUCCGCGUUGUAAUUUUGUGAGGCAUCUCCGGGUAGGGCGCCGGCCUAAGUUCCUUGGAACAGGACGUCACAGAGGGUGAGAAUCCCGUGCUUGGCUGGCUGUCCCCGUCCAUGUGAGGUGUCUUCGACGAGUCGAGUUGUUUGGGAAUGCAGCUCAAAAUGGGUGGUAAAUUUCAUCUAAAGCUAAAUAUUGGUGGGAGA